AUUGAACGCUGGCGGCAUGCUUUACACAUGCAAGUCGAACGGCAGCACGGGAGCUUGCUCCUGGUGGCGAGUGGCGAACGGGUGAGUAAUGCAUCGGAACGUACCCAGUAGUGGGGGAUAGCCCGGCGAAAGCCGGAUUAAUACCGCAUAUUUCCUGAGGGAGAAAGCGGGGGGACCUUCGGGCCUCGCGCUACUGGAGCGGCUGAUGUCGGAUUAGCUAGUUGGUGAGGUAAAGGCUCACCAAGGCGACGAUCCGUAGCUGGUCUGAGAGGAUGAUCAGCCACACUGGGACUGAGACACGGCCCAGACUCCUACGGGAGGCAACAGUGGGGAAUUUUGGACAAUGGGGGCAACCCUGAUCCAGCCAUGCCGCGUGAGUGAAGAAGG
rnacentral:rRNA from 1 species